GACGAACGCUGGCGGCGUGCCUAAUACAUGCAAGUCGAACGCAGUGGGGACGGGUGAGUAACACGUGGGUAACCUCCCAUCAGAGGGGAUAACACUUGGAAACAGGUGCUAAACCGAUACUGAUGGAUGGACCCGCGGUGCAUUAGCUAGUUGUUGAGGUAACGGCUCACCAAGGCCACGAUGCAUAGCCGACCUGAGAGGGGGGUCGGCAACAAGGGGACUGAGAAACGGCCCAGACGCCUACGGGAGGCAGCAGUAGGGAAUCUGCGGAAAUGGAAGGAAGUCUGAACGAGCAACGCCGCGGGAGUGAAGAAGGUUUUCGGAUCGUAAAGCUCUGUUGUAAGAGAAGCGGUAUCUUACCAGAAAGGGACGGCUAACUACGUGCCAGCCGCCGCGGUAAUAC
rnacentral:rRNA from 1 species